rnacentral:lncRNA from 1 species
AGUCUCCUCAGGGUCAGGCAUCCUCUCCGACUACUCCCUCAGCUGCAGAUCCCCACCCUCCUCUGAAUCCCAGUGGCCUUCGGCUUCAACAGAAGUUCACUGAAUGUCUGUUAAGGAUCAGACCUGUGUGCUGAGGAUUCAAAAUCAUGUAAGACUGCCUGCGUUCCUCCCGACUUAAACAAAGGCCUCCAGCAGCUUCCCACAUCCCCUGCCAACCCCCGGGGUCCUGGACCUUACUUUUCCCUUCGCUAUCCCGCAGCUCCGUUUCACCUUUUCCCCCACCUUGAUACCCCAUCGCCCCUACAACCGCCUCCCCGAAGGACACCUUGACCAGAGAACACAGCAAACAAGCCCGUAGAUGCCGUAAGUCCUUCGGCACCGUCUCCAGGGCCAUCCUCUCCGACAAAUGAACAGCAAAGAUUUGGGCCACGGCCUCCUCAGCCGCAGGAAGUAAACAGCGAUUUACCCAGAAUGCCUUCCACUUCCGGUUUUCCGCACUUCCUGUUCCGGUAUGGGGAGCCGCGGACUCACGCCUUUCUCUCUCUCUCUCUCUCUCUCUCUCUCUCUCCCCCGGCCCCCCCCCCCGGUCAAGGAGAUGGUUUCUCCCGCCUGGAGGCGGGGCCGGCCGGGAGUCACCUGGGCCGGCGCGCGCACCCGCCACCUGGGCGGGCGCGAGGGCGAGGCCGGGAAGGCAGUUGCGCCUGUGGGUAGGGCCCGUGGGGGAGGGGUGGCGCGGCUGGCGCCUGCGCGGGAGCGCGCCGCGGCUCCGGCCGGAACUCCCGGCGGGGCGGGCCGUUUGAUCUAGGCCGCUGGCAGCCGGCCGCCGGUCCCCUUAGGAGGAUCCCAGAUGUCAGCCGAGAUUCUUUUUUGUCUUCCCGUUUUAAAAGCGCAGGGCCAGAGUCCACUGUCUCCAUCUGGAUUAUCUCUGCAGAGAGGAAAAUCAGGGACGGCCCCUUUCUUUCCUGAGAGCAGUAAAGGGUUUCCAUUCGCCGUCCACGGGAAUGCUGGCUUGUGAGCCCAUGGCGGAUACCAGGCCCAUUAUUUUUGAAAACUCUUUACGUACUUUCCUUGUUCCAGCUGAUAAUUUGUUUCGUGCAGCAUUUAGACACAGGUCCUUUACUUCAGAAUAUCUGUAGGGGAUUGGAGAUUGUGUUUUGUUUUGUUUUGAUUUCACCCUAUAGCAAGCUGGAUGUUUCUUUGCUCUCCUGUUCAAAACUGGGCAACAGACAAUGACCACCCCCUAGGAAACCUGUCCUGGAGAAGCAGAGGGGGAAAUGUGCUUUGUGAGGAUGAGAGCAGAGGCUGCCCCAGGCUCUGUGGAAUUCAUACCAACAUAGCACCAGCUCUUGAUCCUCAACCAUAGUCCCGUGGGGAGGCAGAGCACAGUCAUUUGUGUUUGUCAGAAUUGGAGCUCUGGGAUAGUUUCAGUAGUUUCAGGCCCUACUGUUCUAUCCUCCCAACCAGGCGUCCCAACUGAAACAGAGCUUUUUCAAGGGGGGGGGGGGGGGGGGCGUGUGUUCAGAUGGGUUCUGUGACUGGGGUUAGAAUGUUCCCUGUCACUGGAUACUUUCCAAACAUACUUUCACGCUUAUCUCAUGGGAGCCCUGCAACCACUCUGUGAAGUAGGCCUAUUUUAUGGGUGGAAAAAAGUGAGGCACAGAAUAUUUGCCCAAGGUCACAAAGUCACUGAAGCAUCAUAAGAAUGUGUGAAGUGAAAAGUACAGUAAGUCUGAUAACGACUGGACCACAGUGUGAAUCUUGUCAUGCUUCCCCCUUCCCUUAUCUCACCAAAUCGUUUUUAGGGGCUUACAAAUCAAUUCUUGUUACCUAGUCUACCACUCUGUCCUGUCCUUUCAUAAAUCAGAGCCUAGCCUCUGAUACCAGAAAUAAUUUAUUUCUGUCAAUGGAGAAGAUGAAUCUGUUACCCUGAGUGACAGUCAUGAGAGAACAAAACCACAAGACCAGACCUCAUUUAUGGAUAAAUAUAUUAGCAAAUAAAUACAUUUCUCAACAUA